UACGUAGGGCGCAAGCGUUGUCCGGAAUUAUUGGGCGUAAAGAGCUCGUAGGCGGUUCGUCGCGUCGGCUGUGAAAACCCGGAGCUCAACUCCGGGCCUGCAGUCGAUACGGGCGGACUUGAGUGUUGCAGGGGAGACUGGAAUUCCUGGUGUAGCGGUGAAAUGCGCAGAUAUCAGGAGGAACACCGGUGGCGAAGGCGGGUCUCUGGGCCGAUACUGACGCUGAGGAGCGAAAGCGUGGGGAGCGAACAGG
rnacentral:rRNA from 1 species